GACAGAGGGUGCAAACGUUGUUCGGAAUUACUGGGCGUAAAGCGUGUGUAGGCGGCUUUGCAAGUCGGAUGUGAAAGCCCCGGGCUCAACCCGGGAAGUGCACUCGAUACUGCAGGGCUUGAGUAUCGGAGAGGUUGGUGGAAUUCUCGGUGUAGAGGUGAAAUUCGUAGAUAUCGAGAGGAACAUCGGCGGCGAAGGCGGCCAACUGGACGAAUACUGACGCUGAGACACGAAAGCGUGGGGAGCAAGCAGG
rnacentral:rRNA from 1 species